UACGUAGGGUGCAAGCGUUGUCCGGAAUUAUUGGGCGUAAAGGGUGCGUAGGCGGUCGUGCAAGUCGGAUGUGAAAUCUCAGGGCUCAACCCUGAAACUGCAUUCGAUACUGCGCGGCUAGAGUGCUGGAGGGGAGACUGGAAUUUACGGUGUAGCAGUGAAAUGCGUAGAUAUCGUAAGGAAGACCAGUGGCGAAGGCGAGUCUCUGGACAGCAACUGACGCUGAGGCACGAAGGCCAGGGGAGCAAACGGG
rnacentral:rRNA from 1 species